GUCCCAGCUGUAAACGAUGGACACUAGAUAGAGGGAAUCCUGAUGGUUCUCUUUGUCGUAGCUAACGCGUUAAGUGUCCCGCCUGGGGAGUAUGCUCGCAAGGGUAAAACUCAAAGGAAUUGACGGGGGCUCACACAAGCGGUGGAGCAUGUGGUUCAAUUCGAAGCAACGCGAAGAACCUUACCUGGGUUUGACAUGCAUGGAUUAGCUUCCUGAAAGGGAGGUUACGCCCGCAAGGGUGGAACAUGCACAGGUGUUGCAUGGCUGUCGU
rnacentral:rRNA from 1 species